CAGCAGUCGCCGCGGUAAUACGAAGGGGGCUAGCGUUGCUCGGAAUUACUGGGCGUAAAGGGAGCGUAGGCGGAUCGUUAAGUUGGGGGUGAAAGCCCGGGGCUCAACCUCGGAAUUGCCUUCAAUACUGGCGAUCUUGAGUAUGGAAGAGGUAUGUGGAACUCCGAGUGUAGAGGUGAAAUUCGUAGAUAUUCGGAAGAACACCAGUGGCGAAGGCGACAUACUGGUCCAUUACUGACGCUGAGGCUCGAAAGCGUGGGGAGCAAACAGGAUUAGAUACCCCAGUAGUCCCUGUCUCUUAUAC
rnacentral:rRNA from 1 species